GUUAUAGUGUUGACGGGAACUAGUAACAAUAAUUCUUUUUCUAGAGAGUCGGUGGCUGGUGCAAACCGAUAAAGGGCUAUUGUGAAUCCAUCCCUGAGCAAAAUAUUGAACAGCUGUAAGGCCAAUGGAUAGCUUUAGAGCUAAGUAAGUAUUUUCGGUUUGAAAACCGUUAUGAUUAUGAGUGGAAAAAGGGCUAGUGUCUUUUUUCAAUCAGGGUGGCAACGCGGGUUAACUCUCGUCCCUUUU
rfam:Bacillus azotoformans LMG 9581 contig36, whole genome shotgun sequence.